rnacentral:rRNA from 1 species
UACAGGGGGGGCAAGCGUUGUUCGGAAUUACUGGGCGUAAAGGGUUCGUAGGUGGCUCACUAAGUCACACGUGAAAUCCCUCAGCUUAACUGGGGAACUGCGUGUGAAACUGGAGAGCUUGAGGGUAGGAGAGGAAUGCAGAAUUCCAGGUGUAGCGGUGAAAUGCGUAGAUAUCUGGAGGAAUACCGGUGGCGAAGGCGGCAUCCUGGACCGACAUUGACGCUGAGGAGCGAAAGCUAGGGGAGCAACGGG